AGGGGUUAGUAUCAUGUUAGUGUAUCCUGUAUUUUAUAGUCCUAAUCAGAUGCUGCAGCUUCGGUGGUCGCAGAUGGGUCCGGUUGGUGUUGGCCUUCACCACGGUUCUUCCUUGUCACCAAUCCUGUUUGUGAUUUUCAUGGGCAAGAUUUCAAGGCGCAGCCAGGGGGAGGAGGGUGUCUGGUUUGAGGACCUCCAAAUUGCCUCCCUUGUUUUGAAGAUGAUGUGGACAGUCUCUGAGUUUCAGCAGACUCCUUGCCGAUUUCUAUAUUUGUCUUUCUGACACCAAACCAAAUUCAUCAAGUCCAUCCUUCUCAUCGCCCUAACCCUGUCUGUGGCAACUCAGCUCAAUGGUUCCUACUAAAUAUGUAAAUCUUUAAAAACACCUCUCAAGUAUAGUUUUUUUUUUUAAAAAGACUCAGUAAUUUCCAAACAUUCGGGACUGAAUCAAUAUAAACUACAGUGCCCAUGUUGGCUGUAAUGAAGGACCAUGUUUUCCAGUGCAAAAGUGUGGCUCACUGAUGUGUUUUUUCUAGUUUGUGGACAACAAUGGAGCUCUAUGACACAAAGGAAUAAACUAUAUUAAGCUUUAGAUACACUGAUAAUACACGUUUUCAUCUUUUCAGGGGAUCUGUUGACAAUAAGAGAAAUGCAGACUAUCGCGUUAUUGACAUACCCUAUUAAAUAAUAAAUACCUGUUAUAAUAAUAAUAAUAAAGUCUUUAUACAGCAAAACAUAGAGUCAGAUCAUCAACAUAAUACACAGCAGACUGAACCAUGAGUUGUUGGUCUGGAUAUUUUUUUGCUUUUUUUCCUGGCAGCAGAGAAGGCAACAGGAGAAGUGGAAGAGAGCAAGAUGGGACAGCAUAUGGCAGCCAUCAUGAGCCAAACCCUGACUGACAGUGUUGCAGAAACAUGGUGCACACCUACAAUAAUCUACCGAGCCGCAGACACACCAGCACUGUCUGUCCAACACCAAGCCACAGUCAUAAACAUCUACUACAAGUCUGACACAGUUCAUGGCAAAAACAGUGUAAAAAUACUCAUUACAGUGCAGAUAUAGGGAGUCGUCUCAUGGGCUAAAAACAUUUUUCUUACCAGGUAACAUUCAUUUAUUAGGUAAGAUAAAUUAGCAUAAAAAAUAUGUGGCUGAAGUAAAGGGGGGAGAAGAUGAAAGGGAGAUGAUGACAGGAGUAAACAGAGUGUAGUGAGCAGCGAGGGAUGACAAAGGAGAGAUUAACGGAUGAACAUGGAUCAGAUGAAGUGGAGUGUGUGUGUGUGUGGGGGGGGGGGGGGUGGAGGGAAAGAGCUUUAGGAGCAGAGUGGGAGGGAAGUGAAGGGAGGUGACUGAAGUUUGCUGCUGGGCUGACAGUUUGAGAAACAGCUUCCUCGCUCUGUUUUUUUUUUUUUUUUUUUCAUCUUUCAUCAUCUUUUUCCAUCUUUCAUCUUACCCACAUGAAAAAAAAAGUAGCUUAGGAAUAAGCACAUUAAGGCAAUUUGUAUAUAAAGCAGGUGUGUGUUUAAACAGUGAUGACCUGAACUGUGAAACAAGAGCCAGUUAAUACUCUACCACUGUUAACAGAGCGCUGCCAGGAUUAUUUGCAAAGUGCAAAGGAAAAAGCCAGCCCAGGGGAGCUCAGGCGCGGGACGGCACGAGGAUGUAUAAAAAGCAACUUAAUGAAUCUUCAUCCAGUUUAACUCUUGGUGCACUCCUCAGCUCCCAGAUGCAGUGAAAGAAAGGUGCUCGCCUGCUUACCUCCCAGCAGCUGAGCAAAAGGCUCAGGGCAGGUUGAAGGGAUGGGAAGUGUCAGCUUGUUCAUGGCAACACCGUAAGCUACCGCCAGUGCAUCUAUCUCCCGGUAAGGAACCUCGCCGGUCAGCAGCUCCCAGAGCAACACACCGAAACUAUGAGGAGAGACAAAGAGACAGGAUGACAACGACCACCUCUUAUCAGUGGCCACAGUUCCUGUAGGUCAUGUAACAACAACUGAGUAAGCUCUACUGAGGAAAGCCACAAGAUGCA